AUCCAAGUCCAGGCCUGCUGACCCCUAGUCCAGUGCUUGUGGUGGCUACUGGGCCCUGACCUAGGGGUCUGGAGACCUGGGUUUGAUCUCCACAGG
rnacentral:pre_miRNA from 1 species